rnacentral:lncRNA from 1 species
CCCAGGGAGGCGGCAGUCCAGCCUAACCUGUGUCUGCGAAGUCCUAUGGAAACCUGAGGGUUGAUUAAGGCAGUAAAAAAUUAAAAAAAAAAAAACAAAAAAACAAAAAAAUUUGUGGAGCCUUUUAACUGUGCAAUAAUUUCUGUAUUUAUUGGGUUUUGUAAUUUUUUUGGCAUGUACGUGCAGGUACCUAUUAUUAUUAUUAUUUCUGUUUAAAUUCCUUUAAAAGAUUUUGUUGAGUAUCCAUCCCUUCAUUUUUUUUUUUAAUAACCCAGUAGUAGUCUGAGCAAUGACUCGCAAGUGACGUAGAGGGAAGCUAUCUUUUAAAUUAUAAUUUUGUGUGUGUGUGUGGGGGGGUGCUGCUUUUUUGAAAUUUAAGCUAAGCAUGUGUAAUUUCUUGUCAAGAAGCCAACACUUAAAUGACUUUUAAAGUUGUUUGCGUUUUCAUCAUUUACUUUGUCCUGAAAUGAAAAGUGGCAUGUGGGAUUUUUUUCCGGGGGGGAGGGGUGGCUUUCAAAACCAUUUUUUUUUUCCGGGAGGUGGAUGUACAGCGGAUUACAAUCUUUAAAAUUGUAGCACUUUGUCUUAGCAUCGCAUUGGAGAGUUAGCACUGAUGUCCUCCUGAGCCACAGAGGCGUCUCUGUGUGGAAUUCAACUUUCAUGCUAUGGAAGGAAAAUGUUGAGGGGGGCGUGGCAAACGAGCCUCUCCCCCACUUGGGACCCCGAGAAUCUUUUCCAGGGUGACUCUAGGAACAGCCCCCACAUCCUGCAAUUGUGUGUUACCAGGAGAUAUGAUAAUGUCCUUUUCUGGGGGAGCUUGGCGUAUUGGGAAGCCGCCUCUGCCCUUUGCUGUAGAUUUGGCUGCAUAAAAUGGGCCGAGGAUACCCACUGGGUAGACAGCUGUGGCCUGUAGUGGCGGGAAAGAAGAGACUAACAAUGUUCUCUCAGGCUUCUCCUGGCAAGAUGGCUUCUCUUUUCAGCCCCCAGCCUACAGAUAAAUCCCAGGUGUCCAUUGCUACAGUGGUAACUUGACUGUGUCCCAAGCAGACAACUGGCCCUGAUGGUGAACUGGAGAAGUUAGCUGCGGGGUCGCUCAUCUCACGCUGAUGGGCACUGUAGGGCAAAGGAAUCUCACCCGUUCUCUCUUCCCGGAGGAGCUGGUAAGAGUUCUGUCCAAGGUGCCCCACGCUGCUUCCGUUUCUGUGUUUUGUCUUUUCCUUCCUCCAAUUAAGUUGGGACAUACUAUACAUUGGACUUGUUGGGAUUUGAUGUUUGAAUUCUGUUGACCCGCACUUUAAAGCUUUUGUUUGCAUUUAAAUUAAAUGGCUUCUAAAC